UCAGCAGGGGAGCUGAUAAUCUGCAACAAAUCCGAUCAUGGACCACGUCUCUUGCCCACUAUCUCGUUCGUGGAUUCCAUAACAGUCCUGCAAAGGCAGGACUGGUGGAAGGGCAAGCUUCUCUAUAAAACGGAGAAGAAAACCCAGAACCAGAGGGGGAGAAUGAACCGAAAAAUUAACCCAAAAACAGAGAAAAAAAGCAGAGAAAAUUGAACAAAAAACCGGGAAUAAAGAAGCAAGCAAAACCCAGAAAAGGCCUCAGCAACAGAGGAGGAGGGGCCGAAAAUCAGAGGAGGAAACAGAACCAGAGGGGAUUGGGACGAACAGGCCAGCAACAGAGGAGGAAGGGACGAAGAUCCAAAGAUAGAAAAAGAGGGCAUAGAACACAGCAAAAAAAGUCAAAUAUACAGGGGCAGAGCAGGAACCGAAACAGCAAAACUGGGGAAAGAACCGGCAGAUCACAGAGCCGAACAGAGACUAAAACCUGGGGAAACAGAGGGGAAGAGACAGAACCAGGAGGGGCUAAAACUGAACCCAGAAAAACAGAGUCAAGAACCAAUAAAACGCAAGCCACAAAUAGAGCAAAAAAGGAGACCCAAUUUCGAAAGGAGAAGCCAGCACUGUACACUUUUCUUCAUCACAAGGACUGAAAGGGCACUGGACUGGAGAAAAGAAGACCACGAACAAAAACAGAGAGAAGAGGUUUUUCCAGACUCAAAGCAGUAACACAGGGGAGAUAAACAAAUAGACAAAAAAAAGAAGAAGAGGAAAGAAAGCAGAGACGAACAAAGGGGAGCUGGGAAAACAGAGGAAAAAAGAAGAACGACCCAGAGUCAAAAUCCCCUGCAGCCAUUUUGAUCGUCUCCAGAAGCAGAGAGAAGGAACAAUAGAGGAAGAACUUAAGAAGGGAAUAGCACCAACCGCCCUUAACUUCGUCUUCAUCUUCAGGAGCAGCAGCCCACAGUGGUAGAAGACAUCUAUAGACGAAGACAGCCAUUUCUCUCCAUGGAUGCUAUAUAUACUUCAUCCAACCAACAAAAGAGAAGUAAUAUAUUUUUCUCUGCAGAUAUAUACAGACAAGGUUCUUCUGUGCAGUGAAGCCAAUGUAUGAGAGACCUAUGACCCUGACUUUCUCUUAAAAUAUAUAUAUAUUUUAAAGUUAAUACGGGUUUUUGGAUCGGUUUAUGUAUAUUUUAAUUAAUUCUAUUUUAUAAGCUUUAAAGUAAAUAAUCAUGUGAAUUCAACUUAUAAUUAUUAAAAAAACAAAUUUAAAAUC